rnacentral:lncRNA from 1 species
CGUCGCAGAAGGCGACGAGAAUGUGGAAAUAAAAAUAAGAAAAAGGGGAAACAACAAGAAAAGUGCGAGAGAUAAUCAGAAGACGGGAGAAUUCUGUGGAUCACCAUUCGGAUGCGCUGAUCCAUAAAAGUGUCGCCGUGAUCCAGACGAUUUCGGAAACCCUCCGCGACCGGGAGGUGGCGGUCGCGAAUCAGGAGAGAGAGGUAACAAAGCGAGAGACCCUUCUUCUACGGGCCGUCAUUGGUGAAGACCUCCAGGAGGAGUCGGCGGCAGAGGAGGCGGAGGAGGAGGUGGGCGCGAGAGUGGACCAGGGGAGGGAAGUCGCCGCGGAGGGGCGAGUCGUCCACAGGUCACCAGAAAAUAAUUAUAUCACCGUCGUCGCAGAAGGCGACGAGAAUGUGGAAAUAAAAAUAAGAAAAAGGGGAAACAACAAGAAAAGUGCGAGAGAUAAUCAGAAGACGGGAGAAUUCUGUGGAUCACCAUUCGGAUGCGCUGAUCCAUAAAAGUGUCGCCGUGAUCCAGACAAUUUCGGAAACCCUCCGCGACCGGGAGGUGGCGGUCGCGAAUCAGGAGAGAGAGGUAACAAAGCGAGAGACCCUUCUUCUACGGGCCGUCAUUGGUGAAGACCUCCAGGAGGAGUCGGCGGCAGAGGAGGCGGAGGAGGAGGUGGGCGCGAGAGUGGACCAGGGGAGGGAAGUCGCCGCGGAGGGGCGAGUCGUCCACAGGUCACCAGAAAAUAAUUAUAUCACCGUCGUCGCAGAAGGCGACGAGAAUGUGGAAAUAAAAAUAAGAAAAAGGGGAAACGUACGUAAAUACGGAAA